GCUGGGAUGGCCGAGUCGUUAAGGCGAGUGAUUUGAAUUCGAAACUGGAUAAUGUCAUUAUCACUUGGUGUUUCACCGCGUAGGUUCAAAUCCUGCUCCCAGCG